GAUGAAGAACGUAGCGAAAUGCGAUAAGUAAUGUGAAUUCAGAAUUCAGUGAAUCAUCGAAUCUUUGAACGCACAUUGCGCCCGCCAGCACUCUGGCGGGCAUGCCUGUUCGAGCGUCAUUUCGACCAUCAGGCCCUCCGGGCUUGUGUUGGGGCUCCCUGCGGCUGUCCGCAGGCCCUGAAAACCAGUGGCGGGCUUGCAAAGUCACACCGAGCGCAGUAGAUUUUUUUCAUCUCGCUCAGGGCGUGCGUGCGGGCGCCGGCCGUAAAAGACGAGAGCGCGGCCUCGGCCGCCCACAAAUACCACAAGGUUGACCUCGGAUCAGGUAGGAAUACCCGCUGAACUUAAGCAUAUCAAUAAGCGGAGGA
rnacentral:misc_RNA from 1 species